UAGGAUCUUUUGUGGUUCCAGACAAAUUUUAGAAUUAGUUUAGUUUUGUGAAAAAUUCCCUUGGAAUUUUGCUAGGAAUUGCAUUGAAUCUGUAGGUUGCUUACACUAGUAUAGACAUUCUAACAAUAUUAAUUCUUCUGAUCCAUACACACAGAAUACUUUUCUAUUUAUUUGUGUCUUCUUCAAUUUCUUUCAUCAGUGUCUUAUAGUUUUCAGAAUACAGGUCUUUCGCAUCUUAAAUUUACUCCUAGGUAUUUUAUUCUUUUUGAUGUAAUUGUAAAUGGGAUUGUUUUCUUAGUUUUUCUGGUUUCUCUUUCUAGUAGUUCAUUAUUACUGUAUAGAAAUGUCUCAGAUUUCUGUAUUUUUAUUUUGUAUCCUGCAACCAAAUUCAUUUAUUCUUUUAAUGUUUAUUUAUUUAUUUUGAGAGUGAGUGUGUGCAAGCACGCACAUGCACGCAUGUGUCACUGGGGGAGAGGUAGAGAGAGAGGGAGAAAAAGCAAGUCCCAGGCAGGCUCUGCACUGUCAGCACAGAGCUCAGUGUGGGGCUCGAACUCACAUACCAUGAGAUCAUGACCUGAGCCAAAGUCACAUGCUUAACCAACUGAGCCACUCAGGUACCCCUGAGUUCAUUUAUUAGUUCUAACAGUUUUAUAGUGGAGUCUUUUGGGUUUUCUAUUUAUAGUAUUAUGUCAUUCGCAAAUAGUGACACUUUUAUUUCUUCUUUUCCAAUUUGGAUGCCUUUUAUAUCUUUUUCUUGCCAAAUUGCUAUGGCUUGGACCCUCCCCCCCUUUUUUUUAAUGUUUAUUUUUGAGAGACAGGAAGAGACAGAGCACAAGUCGGGGAGGGGCACAGAGAGAAGGAGACACAGAAUCUGAAGCAGGCUCCAGGCUCUGAGCUGUCAGCACAGAGCCUGACACGGGGCUUGAACCCAUGAACCAUGAGACCAUGACCUGAGCUGAAGUCAGACACUUAACCAACUGAGCCACUCCAGCACCCCAAGGACUUCUAAUAUUAUGCUGAAUAAAAGAGGCAAAAGUGGGCAUCCUUGUCUUGUUCCUGAUCUUAUAGGAAAAGAUUUCGGCUUUUCACCAUUGAGUAUGAUGUUAGCUGUCAGUUUGUCACAUAUGGCCCUUAUUAUGUUUAGGUACAUUCCCUCUCUACCCACAUUGUUGAGUUUUUUUAUUUAUUAUUAUUCUAAUGUUUAUUUAUUUUUGAGAGGGAGAGAAUACAAGCAGUGGAGGGGCAGAGAGAGGGAGACAGAGAAUCUGAAGCAGGCUCCACGCUGUCAGCACAGAGCCUGACACGGGGCUCGAACCCAUGAACUGUGAGAUCAUGACCUUAGCCGAAGUUGGAUGCUCAGCUGAGCACCCAGGUGCCUCGAGAGUUUUUAUCAUAGAUGGAUGUUGAAUUUUGUCAAAUGCUUUUGUUCUGCAUCUGUUGAGAUAACCCUAUGAUUUUUAUCCUUCAUUUUGUCAAUGUGGUGUAUCAUAUUGGUUGAUUUACAGAAGUUAAACCACGCUUGCACCAAGGUCCUCAGAGCAGCCGUGGGAGAGAAGGAAAGAAAAACAGCCCUGGUCCUAUCUUAGACUGCUGGCGGAGAUUGCUUGUCCUUGGAUCCCAGCCACCAUGCUGUGAGGAAGCCCAGGCCACAUGGAGAGGCCACAUGCGGGUGUUGGGGCCGACAGCCAGCAUCAGCCACUAGACAUGAGAGCCAGCGGGCCUUCAGAUAAUUCCAGCCCCAGGCUUCAAGCUGCCACUGCUGAUGUCCCCACAACUGUCCCUGCUGAGCCCUGCCCAAACUGCAAAGGAUCUGCUUGAACAGAUGACAAACCCACCAUCUUCUCAGGCAGCCCUUGGAUGGCUGGUUGUGUUGAAGAAUUCCUGUGUUGCAAAGUUCCGUGUAAAGAAAGUUCCUGAGAGGCCUGCCCUUGGUGACUUAGCCUCUGGCCUCCUCUCUGGGGGAGCAAUAGAAGGGCUGCGGGCAGGAGGAGGGUCCAGUGAUAACAACCAGGCCCGGAUAGCCAGCGAGCCUUGAGUAUAGCAGCACCUUCUCCCUGCCCCUCCUGCCCAGGACCCACCUGCCCCUUUGACCGAACAGGAGGAAGAGGACACAGAAGAUGAUGCAGGUGACCCCGAUGUGGAUGCCAAUGACGAUGCCUGUAGUGGACGUUUGGUUGGUGGGUUCCUCCUUCCGGCAGUCACAUGGUGGGCUCAGGGCUAGGGGCAGGUGAUGGUUGGGAGUUGUGGCUCUCUUGGCCUGAAGUACCUGGGACACGUAGCCUCUGGGGCUCCUCCUCCCUCAGCCAUAGCUACCUCCGUGUCUACAUAGUCUUUGCCUAUAGGACCCCAGCCUACUUUUUCGGUUCUCUUUACUAGUUACUGAGUACUAACUUUGUGCCAGAUACUGGGAAUAACACUUUACAAGGACCAUUUCAUCCUCACCACAGCUUUAUAAAAUAGGUAUUAUUAUCUCUGUUUUAUAGAGAACAAAACUGGGGCUCAGAGAGGUUAAGUAACUUGCCUAAGGUCACACAGUUAGAAUAUCACUCCAUUGAACUUCAAACUCCAAUCCAAGCCUAUGUUCUCAAGGACCACAUGCACUGUUACACUCUCCUACCUUCCCUGUAUCCCUGUCCCCCUCCUCACUCAACACCUGGCCUCCCUUCCUGAGCACCAGUCUUUAGCCCCACAACCCCUCCCCAACGCCUACCUGUCCUCUCAGAUGCUCCUCUCAAAGAUACGAAGCGGACUGUGGCAUUGCCCUCCCCAUGCUGGUUGUAGGCCAGCAGCUUCACCUCGUACACCGUGGUGGGGUCUGAGGGAAAGGUAGUGCUGUGCUGAGUGACCUCAGCCCCCACAGGCAGCUCUGUCGCAGCAGGGAAACACACGGAACCCCUGCGCCCCACCUCCUGGCACCAGGCACCGCACCCCUGCCCGGCUCCCCACGCGUGGUCUGUGUCUGCCUCACCGAGUUGGCUGAGGUUGUAGGAGGAGGCUGUUGCAGGCAGCAGGACGGGGCCGGUGAAGGAGGCCCUGCUUGCUGGACGGUAAAACAGCUUGAAGCCUCCCUCAUGCUGGGCCAGCCGGGGCCAGGGCUCCCACAGCAGCUGCAGGGAGGAGCCGCCCAGGACCCGCACGGACAACGGGGGUGGGGCAGGUGCUGCAGGCAGAGACCAAGAUGUGAGGGGGGUUGCCACCUUCCACCGUGACCCAUACCCUCACAAGCCUGGCAGCUCUCUGGCCUCUGCCCCCCAGGCCUCCACUUGCUCAAAGAUACCUUUACAUGAGUUGGAAAAGGACGCCCCUUUCUCCAAGUAGACCCAGCCCCCACUCAGCCUCAGGGCCAGGCGCCCAGUGUAGUGCACAACCUGAACAAGCGUGUGUGGUGUUUUGCUCUAAUACCUGGACCUCACCUUCACCCAGGGUGCUGGCCAGCACGGGGGCAGAGGCUGAGCUGGCCCCCCUUGGGGUAUAGGCCUUGAUGUAGAAGCUGUAGGCAGUGGAGGGUUCAAGGUCGCUCACCAGGUGCUGAAAGGUGUUCUUGCUGACUGCCUCCUGGUACUCCAGCUCCGGAGGGUCUGGGGAGGUGAAGGGUAGGGAGGGGCAAUGUAAGGGGCAUGAGGCAGUCUUACCAGCACUGGUGAAAUGAGGGCAUCCAGUGUGCAGGGGGUACAGUGGAGGGAAGGUGUUUGGUCAGGACAUGCAGUAUUGAAAGGGAUGAAAAACAGUGAAUAAAAAGAAGGGGCUGCAGAGCCCUCACCCACCAGCAGCCUUCCUGAUGUGCAGGACAUAGCCGAUAAUCUCCUUGGUGUUGACCAGGGGCUCAUUCCAGGACACACGGACCUCAGUGGGUGACAGAGAGACUGCCUGCACAUUGAGGGGGGGGCCAGGCAGCCCCUCAGCCCAUAACACGGUCAGCCUGGCGCUGGCCUGUGAGGAGCCAGCACUGUUCUCAGCCACACACUGGUAGAUGGCCUCAUCCUCAGGGCCGAUUCCAGAAAUUGUCAGGGUGCUGCAGGGGGAGGGAGAGCCUCAGAUCCCCUCUCCCUGGCAGAGUACCCCUAAAAGUUGGCCAGAUUACCCCACUG